CUCAUCUAGGACCUGUUUGUCUUGGGAGACCCUACCAGGGGGCAUGAAAGCCCAAGGACAACAUAGCUCCUAGGAUUAUUGGGACACGCAAACUCCUCUACCACGCUGCAGUUCGGCACUGUGCUUCUUCACAUUGUAGUACUGGACCUCCACUUCAUGGGUGAGCUGCAGCCACUGCUGGAGGGCGUCUGAGGCGCUCCAAGUGGCCCACAUGUCCUUCUCCGCCUGCUUUAGGGCCCCGCGCACCUGAGGAAAGGUGAAGCUCCUGCAGGCGGUAGGCCUCCUCCUGGGCGUCCAUGAUCUCGUCCCUCAUCUUCUCCUCCAAGUUCUGCUUCUCCUCUGCCACGUUACGCUUCUCCUCGUGGGCUCUCUCCAGUCUGAGGAGCACAAAGCAGUGAAGGCCAAGCAGGCCGGCCGCUGGGUCCCGAGUCCUUACUGUUCCUGCAUGUCCAGGAGACUUUGCUCGGCCCUCUGCAGACUCUCCAGGUCCUUCAUCAUCUUGCUGAUGUGGACCUUACUGGACUUGUUCUGGACCUGGGCGAACCAGCAGCCCCCGACGCCCAUCACCACAGACACCAUGAGCAGCAGGUCCUUCAUGUAAUUGUGAGGGGGACCUGGGGGCAGGAAGAAGGGCCGAGUCAGAACCUCCUCCUGAUCAAUAUCUGCUGAGAUGUAGCACCUGAAGUCAGGAGGUCACCCAUCAACAAAGUCAGACUUUCCACAGACUUGUGGCCUCACACACAAGACUCCCAAAGGGCCCCCCUUAGACACACUGCACUAAACAACUAAUCACUCACUUGAAAGCAGCUUUUGAAAACAUUGAAACACCUUAAUUAGCUUUGACUUUUUAAAGAUAAUGUCUAGAUAACCCCCCCAAAUAAGGUGGUCAAAUAUAUACUUUUAUUUUACAACCCAUACAUUGAAUGUAACGUAUGC